rnacentral:rRNA from 1 species
AUUGAACGCUGGCGGCAUGCCUUACACAUGCAAGUCGAACGGCAGCACGGGUGCUUGCACCUGGUGGCGAGUGGCGAACGGGUGAGUAAUACAUCGGAACAUGUCCUGUAGUGGGGGUUAGCCCGGCGAAAGCCGGAUUAAUACCGCAUACGAUCUACGGAUGAAAGCGGGGGACCUUCGGGCCUCGCUCUAUAGGGUUCUCCGAUGGCUGAUUAGCUAGUUGGUGGGGUAAAGGCCUACCAAGGCGACGAUCAGUAGCUGGUCUGAGAGGACGACAGGCCACACUGGGACUGGGACACGGCCCAGACUCCUACGGGAGGCAGCAGUGGGGAAUUUUGGACAAUGGGCGAAAGCCUGAUCCAGCAAUGCCGCGUGUGUGAAGAAGGCCUUCGGGUUGUAAAGCACUUUUGUCCGGAAAGAAAUCCUUGGCCCUAAUACGGUCGGGGGAUGACGGUACCGGAAGAAUAAGCACCGGCUAACUACGUG